CGUCUGUCGUGCAGCCUUAUUGGUUAAGGGCUGCGAGAGGCCGGUCAGAGCCUUCUCUAUUCGGCAAGGAGAAUAAACGAGGGCGGCCAUUCUGGUUGACGCAAAGAAAAGGCGACACGGCGACCAUCCAUACUGCGAUGCUCGAUUUCUCCUCCCUGGCUAUUGUAGUGACAGCGUGUGAAGGAGGCUGAAGCUGUAGGAGCGUUGUCUGGCGGAGCAGGGUUUGUUCUUCUCCCCAGUCCAUGUCUCCUGCACUCAGCCCUUCGUGGUUCAACAUAGAGUUCGGACAGCAGCAGCCCCCCACAGUAUCUCAUCCAACAGGUCCGUCAAUCUGGAGAUUGCAGAGUCUCACCACCCGCACCAGCACCACAGCCACGGCUUCAGCGUGAAUAUGCCUCUUCCUGCAGUGUAGCUUUCCUGUGAAGCACAUGCGCUGCUGCGCACCAGUGACCCGUCUAGUCUUACACAGGAGCCGAAUGCAUGGGACCUGUUAUCCAGAAUGCUUGGGCCCUGGGGUUUUCCAUAUAAGGGGGGGGUGUCUUUCAGUAAUUUGGAUCUCCAUACCUUAAGUUUGCUAAAAAUAAUUUGAACAUUAAAUAAACCCAAUAGGAUUGUUUUGCCUCCAAUAUGGAUUGAGUACAAGGUGCUGUUUUAUUAUUAUAGAAAAGAAGACAAUUAUUUUUUUUUAAAUUCGUAUUAUCUGAUUUAAACAGAAUGGGAGAUGGCCUUCCUGUAAUUUCUUGAUAAUGGGUUCCUGGAAAAGGAAUCCUAUGCCUUUAUAUUAAAACUGUCAAACAAA